GCCUGCAGGAUAGCUCAAUUGAGCAUGAGACUCGUAAUCUCAGGGCUGUGGGUUCGAGCACCACGUUGGGCA